rnacentral:rRNA from 1 species
UACGUAGGGGGCGAGCGUUGUCCGGAGUUACUGGGCGUAAAGCGCACGCAGGCGGUCUGCUAAGUUUGGUGUGACAGUUGGUGGCUCAACCACCAAAGUGCUUUGAAAACUGACAGACUUGAGGGCUUCAGAGGGACACGGAAUUCCGGGUGGAGUGGUGAAAUGCGUAGAGAUCCGGAGGAACACCAAAGGCGAAGGCAGUGUCCUGGGGAGUACCUGACGCUCAGGUGCGAAAGCCAGGGGAGCGAACGGG